CGAGCCGGGCGGGCGGCCGCGUGGGGUCCUUCACGGGACUCCCCGAGGAACGUCCGGGCUCCACAGGGCAAGGUGGUGGCUAACGGCCACCCGGGGUGACCCGCGGGACAGUGCCACAGAAAACAGACCGCCCGGCGCUUCGGUGCCGGGUAAGGGUGAAACGGUGGUGUAAGAGACCACCAGCGCCUGAGGUGACUCAGGCGGCUAGGUAAACCCCACCUGGAGCAAGGUCAAGAGGAGCCACCUCGGUGGCUCUGCGCGGACGUUCGAGGGCUGCCCGCCCGAGUCCGCGGGUAGACCGCACGAGGCCGGUGGCAACGCCGGCCCUAGAUGGAUGGCCGUCGCCGAGGGCUCCGCGAGGAACCUUCGGAACAGAACCCGGCGUACAGCCCGACUCGUCUG
rnacentral:RNase_P_RNA from 1 species